UGUGAUUUAUGCUUGUGUUACGGGUACCGCAGCGGCAGCACCGCGUAAACAGAUAUAUUCCUGAAAAACAAGAUAAUAAGGAUGAGGCAGGGCAACAGCAUGUUGUUUUCUCUGAGUCCUCUGCAG